GACCCGGAGCCAUCUUGCGCCCGGCACACUGGCGCGGGGUUCGCGUCCCGGGGGGCUUCGGGUGCAGGCGGGCGCGCAGGCGGGGCGAUGCCCGAGGGGCGCCAUGGAUCCUUGGCAGGUAAGCCGUCCGCGGGGUGCGCUGCGACGGCGCCCGCCUUGUGCGGCGUGGCUGCGGGAGCCGGUUUCCGGGGCCGAGCCGGGCGCACGUCCCUUCCCGGUGCGGCUCCAGCGGCGCGCGGGGCAGGGAUCCGGGAGAAGGGGCACCCCGAGCAGCAGCACCCCAGCCCCGGGCCGCUCUCGGCCAGGGCUCCGCCGCUGCCCCCAGCCGCACUCCAGCCCCACUCGAACGACUUUCCCGACUUUUAGCAGCCCUCCUCCCCACACCCCUUGCACCCCCAGAGGAGGCCUUAGCGAGACUAAAAGUAGCCCUUGAGGACCUGUCGGGGAAGUCUGUGGCCGCUUGUGCACCGCAGCUGAAAACUGGAAAAACUCCCACGUCCUGCAACAGGUUGAUAGGAAGCCCGUAGGUCCCUGCUGUGGAGUGCGGUUCAGCAGUUUAGUAAGGAAUCACACAUUCCUGCAGCUCGGAUGUCGUCACGAUCUUAGUACACAGAUGUGGCGCUUCUCUGCCCAGGUCCCUGGCAUUCUGGAAAAACUACAGGAACAAAAAACAGAUCCGUGCCGGGGGAAGAGGUUGACAGCAGAGCGUCUUGAGGAACUUAGGGGGGAGUAGAAGUGCUCUAUGUCCGGCUAUAUUUUUAUUUAUUUAUUUACUUAUUUUUGUGAAACUGAGGCGUGAACCCAGGACCUCACACGUGGUAGACAAGCAACUGUUUCACUGAGCUGCAUCCCCAGCCUUUUAAAUUUUAUUUUGAGUCAGGGUCUCUGUAAAUUGCCCAGGCUGGUCUUGAACUUCCAGUCCUUUUGCUGUAACCCCUGGAAUAGUUGGGACUACAGGUACGUGCCGCUGCUCCCAGCUUUGAAGUGUUCUGUGAUAAGAGCACUCACCUAGCAUGUGCAGGGCCCUGGGUUCAAGCCCCAGCACCAAAAAAUAAAUAAGGCCCUUCUUUAAAGGAUUAGGGAGACCUGACUUGAAGAAGUAUUUCUUCAGACAUACCAGAGGGUGGCGCUGUGGAGCCAUGUGGUAAAGGUGGGGGGCUUUAGUCUCUUGAUUCUAAAUAUAAGAGGCUAAGUUAAAAUGAAAUCCAGGAGGCUGUGAAUGUCAGAUGACUUGUUAUGCAGUUUGCUCAGUAAAGAGACAUGAAGUGGGAGAGAAGUGGGGUGAGGGUUUAGGAAGGACCACCAUGGGCAGGUUUCCUACCUGUCGCUCCCACACCAUUGGUGGUUAUCUGCAUGGCUGUUCUAAAGUGGGACUUGGUUUUUAGGGUGCUGAAAGGGGUAAGAAGACAAUGACCCUCCCUCCCCCUCUAACACAACUUCCCCAAAAUAACUGUGAAAAAAUUCACGUAUCAUUUCUCUUUUUUCUCUGAAUUCAUUCUAGCUUAUGCACAUGUACAUUUAUAUACGUACAUGUAUACAUAUGAGUUUUUCCUUAUUUAUAAAAAAAGAGAAAAAAUAAUGUAUAUGUAUUCUGAAACUUGCUUUUAUGUUGUUGUUUUAGUCAAUAUAUUCCUAAAUUUUCUCUAGGUGAAUACAAAUAGAUCUAAAACACACACACACACACACACACACACACACACACACACACUGGGGAUUGAACCCAGGAGCAGUUUACUACUGAGCCCCGUCCUUUUUUUUUUUAACUACAGGGUGUCACUAAGUUGCUGAGGCUGGCCUCAAACUUGUAAUCCUCGUGCCUCAGGCUCUUGAGUCACUGGAAUUACAGGUGUGUGCCACCCCCCUGGCCAUAUUUUUUUUUUUUUAAGGUGGAUUCAAUAUCUUUAGUUUGCAUUUAUGUGGUGCUGAGGAUCGAACCCGGUGCCCUGUGCAUGCUAGGACGAGCACUCUACCACUGAGCCACAACCCAAGCCCCCCCCGGCCAUAUUUUUAAACCCCGUGUGAAUACUGUUCCACAGCAUGAGUGUUUCAUCAUUUAUUCAACCUUUUUUUUUUUUUUAGGUGGGUACUCAAAGAUUUGCCAGAUUUUGGUUGAGAGUAGCAGUUUGACUCUAGAAAACACCUGGUAGAAACUGACUUCAGAACAGUUUUCUUUUCUGAAAGGUACUCAAAGAGCUAAUCAGAAAACCCCUAAAAAUCCCCAUAAUCCAGCUCUGUGAUUGGGGUGCUCACUGUGUCCACACAACAUCUCUGCCCCUAGCAAUAUGGGGGGACAGAGAUACAAUAGAGGAGCGAGGGCUGGGGUUGCUGCUCAGUGGAAGAGCAUUUGCGUAGCAGCGGGGGGCACUAGGUCCGAUUCUCAGCACCGCAUGUAAAUGAAGAAAAUAAAGGUCCCUUUACAAAUAAGUAAAUAAAUAAAUAGAACCUGUCUCAAAUUUUUUAAAAAAGGACUAGGGAUGUAUAUCAGUGGUAAAGCAUCCCUGGACUCAGUGAAUUCCCCCACCCCCAAAAAAGAGGAGUGAGGAAGGGGGUGCCAUUGCUUGCCUGGGUGCCUUGUUCACGCAUUCAUGUGUGUUGCUUGGUGGUUUUAAUUUUGUGCCAGGUGCUGGGGAGACAAAGGUGACCGUAGCCUAGUCCUUGUCCCCCAAGAGUUCCCUGUGGAGUCAGCCACAGCCCCCAUGGGCACUGUGUGGGAGUGGAGGUGUGAUUUCUGGGCGCCUGACCUUGUUAAUGGCCUUUCAGAUACACUGUAUCUAUGCCAUGAUCAAAAAAUCUAAAGCUAUGAUGAAGCCAGUGGUCCAGCAGGUGCUGACUGGGUGGAGUUCCAGGAGGGGACUCUGGGCUGAGGGAGGUGGGAGUCAGGAGCCUCCUGAAGAAAGUGGCCUUUAGGAGAUUUGUGAGGAAAGGGCCAGUCGUGGAGGGCAGAGGUGCCGCGCUGGUGUGGCGGGAGAGGAGCAGAAGGACUUGAGGCUUCUGUGUAGUCUGAGUAAGAGGCAGUGACGAGGGGCUGCAACCCGAAUGGGACACAGUUCCUCCAGAGGUGGUGGGCCAGACAGGGCAAGGCAGCCGCCGGCUUAGAGGGGCCGUGAGGAAGGAGGGCAGACAGCCAGGUCCCUGGCCUUAGUGACCUGCGAGAAGGAUGCCGUGAACAGUGACAACGGGAGAGGAGGGUGGCUUUGAGGGAAAUGAUAAAUUUGGUCCAGAAUAUGUGGCAUUUGAGGUAAUGGAGGGUUACUUGAGUGCACAGGUAUCUAGGUAGUUGGUGCGAAGUGGCAGCUGGCUAGACGCGAGUUGCUUCAGGGGGCUGGCUUGGGUUGGCGGAGUGGGUGACGUCAACCUAGUGGACAAAAUAUAAAGAAAACUCUUAGACAAGCCAUGGGGACUGAGGGUAUAGAAAGGGCAGGAGAAGGGGACAGAGAUGAUCUUUGAUGCUGUGUCACCAGAUCCUGGGAGGAGAGUUUUGUGAAGAAGAAGCUUUAUCUGUGGUGAGCCCGUGCAGUUUAUGGAACUGGGUGGCCAACAGUGGAGACCCAGCCACGGCUCAAGAGCAGGACGUGUAUGCACCUGUUAGCACAGUCAUUGUCCUUCAGUUCCACGGAAGCUUGGGUGAAGAGACAGCGCCCAGUGGGUGCUGGGUAGAGAGGCAAACUGACCAUAGAUCCAGGCAGAGUGAGGGAGCGUUCAGAGACGUGGGGAAGCUGCCCCCAGAAAGGAGCAGGAGUCGGCCAGUGCAGCCCACAGCUGACCCCUGUUUUGGGGAAUGGAGAUCCCGGUAAAGAAAUCGUCCCUAAACGUUGACAUGCUGUGAGUGGCUGCUUUGUGCUAUAAUGGCACAGCUCUCUGGCCCUUUCUAGAAAAAAGAUGCCAGCCACUGGAGAAGAGUUUCAGGGUUUGAGGGGUCAGCCGUGGCCUGGGUUGGCAUUAAUGGUGAUAUCAGAGGGGCAGCUGGAUAAGCCAGACAUGUGGCUGAAAGAGGAGAGGGAGGUCACCUUCAUAGAGAUCAAGGAACCCUACAACCAGAAUCAUCGGCAAGAAUGCCAACGUCCCCUACUUGUGGGGAGUAGAAAGCACAGCUGUUGAAGAAAGGGGUGCAGCUGCUCCUGGAGCCUUCAGGAGGACCGGAGGAGGGGACAUAAACACGAGGUGCAGCCCCUCCCAAGCCUGCAGCCCUGGGCAAAGGAAGCAGAGUGCCUCCUGCCACCCCCAGCCCCAUGAGCACCUCCUGCCUGCUGCACACUCAGUACGCGGCACCAGGGAGAGGAAGAGCCCCAGAUGGAGGGCCCUGGUGGAUGGGCCACAGCUGCUCCACUGCAGUGCACAUAUGGCGACAGGAGAAUUUGGGGUCUCUUGUGCUCACACAGCAGAGCUCAGAAGGGGGGGCCAUGGAAGCAACCCUUGGGAGGUAGCUGGCAGGGUAGGAGGCUGAGGGUAAGGAGGGGACCCUGCCCGGGUGCUUGGGAGAAGUGCCAGGGCUCCCUCCCAAUCCCAGGCCUGGGCACUAUGCUGAGGAGCAAGGACAGUGUGCCAGUCCUGUAAGGACACCUUCCAGCUUCCCUAAAACCACACUGUGAGCCUCGUGGGAGGCCAGUGACAAGCAGGGGGCCCGCUCAGGCCCUCUCCGUUUUACAACCAGGGCUGACACGUGGGGGAGCCUGGCUCAAGGAGGGGGAGCCCUGUCCAUCCGCAGCCCCCUCACGCCCUUCCUUUUUCAGGGUUCUGGUUUUGGUUUUAAGACAAAAUGCGAUUUGUUUUCGGGUUCCGGAGGGUCUCUUGGCGUUGGUGGGAAGGUUCCUGUCAACUCUCCAAAAGGCUGUGGAAAGGGAGACUAGUUAGGUCUCUGGAGAGGCUGGGGCACUCGAACCCCGGCUGGGUGCCCCUGUGCUCCGCCUCCUGUCCCCUGUGUGCCAUUGGUGGCCCCAGGCAGUACUUAAGAGGUGGCUAAGUCACCCCAGCGAGGUCGUAAGCCCAUGACUGUCACCUUUUCAGCCUGUUGGAAACCGGAACGUCUUCCCGGGCAGGGUCAGGAGGGGACCCCGCGGCCUCGCUGCAGCCUGGUUCAUCCCUCUGCUCCCUCUGUCCACAGGGGUGUUUCUUCAACGGACACCGCCCCCGCCCUGGCCACGGCUAUGAGCACAGCAAGGCCAGACAGCAGCAGCCGUGGCAGGAAUCGCGCACCGGUAGCUUCCGGCUCCAGCAAAUAGAGUUUCUCAAGGGGCGGCUCUCAGAAGUGCCCCUGACUGGAACGCAGGCACCGUCCCUGCCACCACCAGUAGUCCCCCCAGGACUCUGGCCCAGGUUUCCGGGACCACCUGUUAGAGCCAGGCAGCCUGAGAUCUGGGGGGUCUGCAGCGGCGUGCCUCUCAGAGGUCAGGGGCUGCAGGCAGUGCCCCAGCUUCCCCUGCCAGGUGGCAGGGGCCUGCCGUGGAGAGGUGCUGACCGGCUCUCCUCCCGCUUCCAGGGACUGAGCAUCAGUCAGGGCCAGGAGGAAAGGGUCUUAGAGUUCCUAAAGGAGCUCGGGGAAGGGAAGGACACCACAGCGCAGGAGCUGGCCAGGAAGCUCAGGGUCCCCAAGAGAGAGGUCAAUCAAGCUUUGUACUCCCUGGCAAAGAAGGGUCAGCUGCACAGGAAGCAGGGCACACCCCCUUUGUGGAGCGCUGCGGCCUCCGUUCCAGCCCGGAGCCAGCCCGGCACACUGGUACAGCCCGACCUUCAGAGCCAGGGAGCCCCAAGCCCAGAGCCCAACUCAGAAUCUGAAGAAAGUCACCCCACAUCUGACUCAGAAGAUCCUCCUGAGCCUGUGGACAUGGCUGAGAUCAAGGAGAAGAUCUGCGACUACCUGUUCAACGUGUCUAACUGCUCCGCCCUGAGUCUGGCUAAAAACAUCGGCUUCACCAGAGCCCGAGAUGUGAACGCAGUGCUGUGCGACAUGGAAAAGCAGGGCGACGUCUACCGGCAAGGGGCCAUCCCCACCUGGUACCUGACGGACAAGAAGCGAGAGAGGAUGCAGAUCAAGAGGAACACACAGAGUGCUCCCGCGGCCACCCAGGGUGCUGUCCCCGCCACCAGCAGGAACACGGCAUUCCCCACCUAUCACCUCCCCCCACCCAACGCCCCAAACAAUACAAUGACCACAGAAAAAGCGGAGAAUGGGCAGGACCCGCUCAUAAGGUUAGAGAGUAGACAGGAGCCCAGACCAGGGCCCAUGAAACUGAGGCCCCCUGUUUAUCACAAUGGCCCCUCAAAAGCAGGGUAUGUUGACUUUGAAAAUGGCCAGUGGGCCACAGAUGACAUCCCGGAUGACUUGAAUAGCAUCCACGCGGCACCGGGUGAGUUCCGAGCCAUCAUGGAGAUGCCCUCCUUCUACAGCCACGGCUUGCCCCGGUGCUCGCCCUACAAGAAGCUGACCGAGUGCCAGCUGAAGAACCCCGUCAGCGGGCUGCUGGAGUACGCGCAGUUCGCCAGCCAGACCUGCGAGUUCCACCUCAUCGAGCAGAGCGGGCCCCCCCACGAGCCCCGGUGAGCCCCUGCCGGACGCGCCUAGGGCCGGACCAACAAGCCUCGGCCGACUGUGAGCGGUGCCCUUCGGUGGCCCUGUCCCCCUCUUCCUUUUUGGCCUUUGGCUGAAUCAUCCUCCUUUGGCCCAUUCUCUGGGCAGUGGGCCUGGAGCCACCAGAAUCCUGGCCGAGCCAAGGGGGAGACGGACUCUUGGCUGAACUGAGGCUUCCUUAGAAAUCUCGGCUUUCAGGCACCGGGUCUCGCCUGCCCCUGAGGCCCUAGGCCAGGACCUAACUCCCUCCCCACCUCCCCCUCGAGUUGGGUUCCUGGACCAGGUACAGGAACAGGACCGCCAAGGGUGGGCCACACCAGGAUAAGGGCGUGUGCAGAGAGCCCAGGUGCACCCCCUCAACUGGGAGGCAGGCCCGCCCGCCCCCCC
rnacentral:lncRNA from 1 species